rnacentral:rRNA from 1 species
GGCAGCUUACACAUGCAAGUCGAGCGGUAACAGAGAUAGCUUGCUAUCUGCUGACGAGCGGCGGACGGGUGAGUAAUGCUUGGGAAUAUGCCUUUGAGUGGGGGACAACAGUUGGAAACGACUGCUAAUACCGCAUAACGUCUACGGACCAAAGGGGGGGAUGCUUCGGCACCUCUCGCUCAUUGAUUAGCCCAAGUGAGAUUAGCUAGUUGGUAAGGUAAUGGCUUACCAAGGUGACGAUCUCUAGCUGGUUUGAGAGGAUGAUCAGCCACACUGGGACUGAGACACGGCCCAGACUCCUACGGGAGGCAGCAGUGGGGAAUAUUGCACAAUGGGCGAAAGCCUGAUGCAGCCAUGCCGCGUGUGUGAAGAAGGCCUUCGGGUUGUAAAGCACUUUCAGCGAGGAGGAAAGGUUAGUAGUUAAUAGCUGCUAGCUGUGACGUUACUCGCAGAAGAAGCACCGGCUAACUUCGUGCCAGCAGCCGCGGUAAUACGAGGGGUGCAAGCGUUAAUCGGAAUUACUGGGCGUAAAGCGUGCGUANGUGGUUUGUUAAGCAAGAUGUGAAAGCCCCGGGCUCAACCUGGGAACUGCAUUUUGAACUGGCAAACUAGAGUUUUGUAGAGGGUAGUGGAAUUUCCAGUGUAGCGGUGA